UCAUCUCUCUCCCUCGAGCUCUCGCUCUCUCCCUCCCUCGCUCUCGCUCUCGCUCUCUCCCUCUCUCUCUUCUUGCUUCGGAACUUGGCUCUUAUUCUUUUCCGGCAUCUCUUGGGCUUUCUCUUCCCUCUGUGGUCGCCUUGCUAGGUCAGCGGCUUGGAUCAAUCAACCAGUCAAGACGAAGAAGAAGAAGAUUACGAGAACUAUGAAAACUAUGGUCUUAUUCUUUCUACAAUUACCUCAAGAACGGGUUCAUACCCGAGUACGCUACUCGUGGCCAGUAUAGAGCCUGGGGUUUUCUUCAAGGCAUUUAUUUCCUGUCCUGAGCAAGCCUCUUUCAUUCUAAAGGUGAUCUUGCAUCUCUUCCGGAAGGUCGCUUGCAAUUGAACAAGGCGGAAUUGCCUGACCACCAAAACUCCGCCGAGCGGUUGGGGUUUCUAUGCAUUGGAUUGCGAAGACAUGUGUCGUCUAGUAUGGUUCGAGGAGAAAUCGCAGGCAAACAUUGGCGUACUGGUGAUGUACUGGUGAUAGGUACGUUUCUCAGGUGAGACAUGUGAACCGUCAAGGGCCAAGCACUGAAACAUAUGGUGUAAUGACUAAGCAUCUCUUUCAGUUUCGGGCAUGACACAAUUCUGCAAACUCAUUUGGGCUUACAACCCAAAGAGAAAAGCAAUGUUCUUGGUGUCUGCAUCAGAUUCUAACACCAGCCACCAAACGACAAACAUAUGAAGAAUGGUGUUUUACUUCAUGGACACGCCAAAAAGGUAAGUAGAACCUCAUCAUCAUCAUCAUCAUCAUUGUCAUCUUUAGCAUACAUCAUUAACAUUGCGUUUGCGUUAUCAUCAUCAUCAUCUUCAUUAGCAUCUGCAUCAUAAACAUGGGAUUUGCAUUUGCAUUUGCAUCAUAACUUCGUCAUCAUUAGCAUUUGCGUAAUCACAUGACGUCACAUCAGAAUUACACCAUACACAUAACAUCCAUUAUCUCAUACAUCAAAAUCAUCACCUUAUGUUACUACACAUCAAAUCAUAUCAAUGUCACCAUAAAACGCAUAACAACACGUCAUCUCAUAUCAAAAUCAUCUCCACAAUGUAACAACACAUCAAAUCAUCUCAAAAGCAUCACAAAACGCUUAAUAACACAUCAUCUCAUACAUCAAAAUCUUCACCAUAUGUGUAACAACACAUUAAAUCAUAUCACAAAAACCAUAGCAACACAUCUUCUCAUAUGUCAAAAUCAUCAUCAUAUGGAUAACAACACAUCACAUCAUAUCCAAAUCAUCACCAUACGCAUAACAACACAUCAUCUCAUAUGUCAAAAUGUUCACCAUAUACAUAACAACACAUCAAAUCAUAUCAAAAUCAUCGCCAUAUGCAUCAUAACUUCAUUGCAUCAUCAUUUGCGUAUUCAUCAUAACGUAAUUGCAUAUGCCUCAUACUAUCAUCACAUCAUAUUUGCAUAUGCAUCAUAACAUUGUCAUUUGCAUAUGCAUCAUAACAUCAUCACAUCGUAUUUGCAUAUGCAUCAUCACAUUAUCUCAUCAUCAUUUACAUAUGCAUCUUAAUAUCAUCGCAUGAUAUUUGCAUAUGCAUCAGCAUCAUAACAUCAAAGGACAAGAUAUAACAUCAUUUGCAUAUGCAUCAUAAUAAUUUAUCCAUCAUUCUUCCUCUCACUGCAACGUCUCAAACAACGAGAGACCAUCGUUAGAAGAGCCUGUGGGGGCGUUGUGUCGUUGCGUUGACACCAUGCCAUACCUAUAUCCUUUGGAAUUUUCUUGAUAUUUUGCAUACUGACCUUUAGUUGAUUAUGUAGCCUAUAUCUUGAUUUUUGUGUGAUGGAGAUAGAUCUUAGGGACGAUUUUUUUUGUUGGAGUGGCUUAUGUUCGAUUUUCUUCAUCAGAUCAUAAUUGUCUAGUCAGGCAGCCCAUAAUACUUAGAUUCAGUUGAAGAACAACGUGGAGCUAUUUGACUAACUCAAAGCAGACAACGCCUCAACAAGUGUCUUGGUGAUCAAAUUGGUACAUGAAAUAUGGCUGGUAGGAGUAGGACGGCAAACCUCAGACCUUGACUUCGAUUUUAUGUGUUCUCUCUUCUGCUCCUAGGAUCGCAAAAGGCUUAUGUCUUCAAAUAUGAUCAACGUAGAAAUCUGAGGCAGAAAUUAGCGAAAGACAGCCCAUCACGUGAAGCUGAGAUUCAACAUAAGGACAAGGUGGAGCUGCCUGAAUACCAAUGCAGACAAUGCUUCACUAAGGAAGAGAUAUAUGAAGGCUUGUGCGUCGCAAUCGGAUCAGGGUCAUAGUCGAGAGACCAUUGAAGAGCCGAUAGAACUGCUAAGCUCAAAGACAAUGGUAAUAAGAGCAUGUUGAAGCACAUUGGCGUACAGGAUAGGCUUGUGAUACGGCGAGCCUAGUUCUUCAUAUUUGAUGAGCAGAGCUAAUCUCAGAUCUGUGCAAUGAUUAUCUCUUUCACGUAUGACAAAAACUGAACUGAAGAUGGUUUUACAAUUCUGCAAACUCAUCUGGGCUUACAACACAGAGAAAGUGAAGCCUCGCCGUGGAAGGAUUAGGAGGCUCCCUCCUCUUACUGCUGACUUCUGGAACAAAUAGGGAUUUCAGUUCUGAUGUCGAACUCGAUAGGGAUUUCGUUGGAGUCCCUUGUAGCGAAUUUGUUUUUGGGUUUUGUUUCAGCGGCGUUCUUGGUGUCCACGUCAGAUCCUAACUCAGACCACCAAACAUUCAACAGUUGAAGCCUCGCCAUGGGCACGCCAGAGGAGCAGCAUCGCAACAAACCACCAUCACAAGCAUUCUCGCAACAAAUCACCACCACUGGCAUCGACAAUCACCUCGUAUCCAAAAUCGUCACCAUACACGUCUCACAUAUCAAAGUCAUCACCGAACGCGUUACAACAGAUCGUCUCUCAUAUCCAAAUGAUCACCGUAUGCGCCACAACACGUCACCCCAUAAACUAUGCCAAAAAAUGAAGAAUCUUUUCUCUCACUUCUCGAUUUCGUUCACUUUUUUUUUUUUUUUUUCUUCGUGGGUUUUGCUUAAUUAGUCAACUUUACUCUUAGUUUUAGCUACGAACGGUGAUUCUGUGUUGUGCGAUUCAUUCGUUAAUGGAGUGGUGUUUUUUUUUUGUGGUUCAUUGCUUGCUGUUUCGUAUAUUUGGUCAGUGAAAUCGUGACGUGACA